AAACCUGCAAUAAACCGUCCUCUACAAUCUCGGAUUAGUCCGCCGCUAGCUCUGUUGCUCUCAGGUUGGAACACAGACCCAUCGACAUUCAACUUUAUCCAAUCCUCUUCCAGGGGUUCCCAAACAACAUCUUCUCUGGCGAGUCUCAAUUUCUUGCUACUCUGUUCCGUGAUAUUCAGAACAGAAUUAUAGUUUUCUGCCAAUGUCUGAAUCAAGUGUUGCAAUCGGUUGCUCUGGGGGGAAGUGUGAUUGAAAAUUAUCUCAUUCCUGUACCUCCAUGCUGUGUUGCAGGUUAUGAUGAAAGUAAUGGUCCAUGGUGUACCAUUUUGAAGUACAGUGGUUUUCAUCAGGUUAGUUUUUAGCUAGUCUUUAUAAUUUUGACUGAAAAACAUUCCCUGUGAAUCACUGGCUUCAAUGCUCUUCCAGACAUUACGGAUAUAGGGACAAUCACGUAACGUGUGGACCAAAGUCUCAUCAUCUCCUUGGCAUCUCGGGUAGCUCCCAUCCUCUGUAAGUCUUCUUCUUUUC
rnacentral:lncRNA from 1 species